UACGGGGGGGGCAAGCGUUGUUCGGAAUUACUGGGCGUAAAGCGUGCGCAGGCGGUGAUGUAAGACAGGUGUGAAAUCCCCGGGCUUAACCUGGGAACUGCAUUUGUGACUGCAUCGCUGGAGUGCGGCAGAGGGGGAUGGAAUUCCGCGUGUAGCAGUGAAAUGCGUAGAUAUGCGGAGGAACACCGAUGGCGAAGGCAAU
rnacentral:rRNA from 1 species